AACGAACGCUGGCGGCAUGCCUAACACAUGCAAGUCGAACGAGACCUUCGGGUCUAGUGGCGCACGGGUGCGUAACGCGUGGGAACCUGCCCUUAGGUUCGGAAUAACUCCCCGAAAGGGGUGCUAAUACCGGAUAAUGUCUUCGGACCAAAGAUUUAUCGCCUUUGGAUGGGCCCGCGUUGGAUUAGCUAGUUGGUAGGGUAAAAGCCUACCAAGGCGACGAUCCAUAGCUGGUCUGAGAGGAUGAUCAGCCACACUGGGACUGAGACACGGCCCAGACUCCUACGGGAGGCAGCAGUGGGGAAUAUUGGACAAUGGGCGAAAGCCUGAUCCAGCAAUGCCGCGUGAGUGAUGAAGGCCUUAGGGUUGUAAAGCUCUUUUACCCGGGAUGAUGAUGACAGUACCGGGAGAAUAAGCGCCGGCUAACUCCGUG
rnacentral:rRNA from 1 species